AACGGCUGCAGUACUCUGACUGUGCAAAGGUAGCAUAAUCAUUUGUCCAUUAAUUGUGGACUGGAAUCAACGGCUAGACGACAAGAAAGCUGUCUCUUUGUAUAGGUUUUGAAAUUAAUAUUAAGGUGAAGAGGCCUUAAUUAAUAAGUGGGACGAGAAGACCCUGUGGAGCUUUAGUUUAGACCUAAUGUUUAGGAAAAAAACUUAAGUUGGGGCAACUAUUGUUAAAAAGUAAUACAGCAGUAAGUACAUAAUAAAUUAAUUUUUCCAUGACCUAAAAAGUUUUAAUAAUUAGAAAAAGUUACCCCAGGGAUAACAGCGUAAUUUUUCUUGAGAGUACGUAUUGACGGAGAAGUUUGCGACCUCGAUGUUGGAUCAGGGCCACCUGAGGGUGCAGCAGCUCUCAAAGGUUGGUUUGUUCAACCAUGAAAGCC
rnacentral:rRNA from 1 species